rnacentral:lncRNA from 1 species
UGGGCUAUAGCCUUGGGGGGUGGGGCUGGCCAACUUCGUCCGCCGGACUCGGAAUGGCGCGAGACUUUGCGAGCGGCCUCCGUGUGCCAAAAAUAGGCCGCGGACACAGCCGCGCCGAAAAAUAACUGCCCGGAGGGCCGGGGCGCCAAGUUCGUCCAGCGGAAAAAGGCCACACAAAACGGCUGGGCUAUAGCGUUGGGGGGUGGGGCUGGCCGACUUCGUCCGCCGGACUCGGAAUGGCGCGAGACAUUGCGAGCGGCCUCCGUGUGCCAAAAAUAGGCCGCGGACACAGCCGNNN